UGCGAUAUUCAUAAAAUUGUCUGAUUCUGCAUCCACCUUGGCUAGUGCAUGGUUAUUUCCAGGGUACCAAAGAAGCCGUACAGGCACAUCAUGAGCUUUCAAUGCUCUAUAAUAUUCCAGGCCCUGCUUGUUCGGCACUCGACGAUCAUCCUCUCCCAGCAUUAAUAGGACCGGGGUCUUAACCUGAGAGACAUAUCGGAUAGGGGAUUUAUCUAACAUUUCCCCAUAUUGAGAAGGAUCCGGUGCAGCCUGGUAAGAGUAAGGGAUACCGGAUUCCACCAAACACCAGUCUGGUAUAUCAGUUGAUCCAAACAUUGAGAGCAGGUUAGUCACUGGGUUGCGAGCAAUGCAUGCUUUAUAGAAUCCUGGGUAUUGACCAAUCAAAUGACACGACAAGAAGCCACCGUGUGAUCCUCCACAUAUUAUGACCCUGUUUGGAUCCAAAGAUUCUUCUUGCAGAACUUGCUCCACUGCAAACUGAACAUCUUUGACAUCUUGCUCUCCGACAUUCUUUGGCAGGGAAACAAUGCUGUCCUGUCCAAAGCCCACUGAUCCUCGAUAAUUUACUAGUAGUACAGCUAAACCCAUGUUACACAUCAUAGCCGGAAAAAGCAUCCAUUCGCUGACAAAGGCAGAGUGUGGGCCUCCGUGAGGGUAGACGACCAAGGGAAUUUUGCUCUCAGCAGGGAUGUUCUGCGGCUUAAGGAAGAUAGACUCAAAAUUGAGGCCAGGAUACUUUGAGUUCUCCUGUUCUUGAGGAGGUUGAUGGACUUUGAAACUCCAAUCUAUAUUAAAACCAGAAUUAUCUUCCUUCAAUGAAACCCAUGCGAUGUCAUCUUCUUUGCCAUUAGGGGGUAAGAACCCCACUUUUAUUGUAGGUGGGUGGUUUGGAGAGGAAAAUGAGGUAACAAGUAGAUCUCUGUCAAUAGCCAACACCUUCCAGGAUCCUGGUGGAUAAUUUCCUUUGGAUUGGAGUGGUGUCAGCUUUCCAUUUAUAAUAUCCACAACAAACACACUCUGUUUACUGCGCUGCACCGUAUCAAGAACCACUCGUUGGCUGUCUGCAGACCAGCAGAAUGAAGCGAGUAAUGUGCCAUAAAUACCUGCAAACUGCCCAUCAGUGCUUCGGGGCACAAUAUCUACCACAGUCAGUGGUGUAUCCUGGUUUUGUGCUGCCCUAGGCAGGACAAAACUCAGGCACCCCCCUCUCCCCGCGCCACCCCCACCCAACCCUUCCCCCCGCCCCACCUUCUAAAUACACAUACACACACACACACACACAGUCAGACACAUACACACACACAGUCACACACAUACACACACACAGUCAGACACAUACACACACACACUCACACACACAGUCAGACACAAACACACACAUAGACAGACACAAACACACACACACAGUCAGACACAAACACACACACAGUCAGACACAAACACACACAGUCAGACACAUACACAGACAGUCAGACACAGUCAGACACACACACAGAUUAACUUUUUUUUUUUAUUUAAAUCCCCCCCCCAACCUCCUUACCUUUGGGAGUGCUGGGGGGGGGUGGGGGUCUCUCUCCCUGGUGGUCCAGUGGCUGCCGGUCGGGCGGGCGGGCUGGCGGUCGGGCGGCUGGCGAGGGAGCACUUCCCAUGAGCUGUCUGCUCAGCUCCCUCGCGCUGGCUGCAGAGUGAGGCUGGGAGCCGGAAGAUGACGUCAUCUUCCGGCUCCCAGCCUCACUGUGCGGCGCGCGAGGGAGCUGAGCAGUCAGCUCAUAGGAAGUGCUCCCUCGCCAGCCGCCCGCCGCCGGGAUGUCAGUUAGCCGCAAGGCUAACUAGGCAUUUGCCCUGGGCAUUUGGGGGGCGGCGUUUUUUGCCGCCCCCUGAAAAAUGCCGCCCAAGGCAAAUGCCUUGUUUGCCUCGCGGCUAAUACGUCCCUGACCACAGUGGAGGUCACUUUUGUAUACCAAUCAUACAUAAGCAGUUUGCAGCACUGCUGAUGAGGUCCAAAUUGUUCACACAUUAGAUAUACUAUACGGCACUUGUCAGGGCUCAAUCUGGGUGAAAAAACAGAAGCCAAGUCCGUGGAGAGUGUUUCACAUUUGCCGCCAGUCAGGUCCACAAAAAACAGUGCAGAUCUCCUAUUGGGGCAAUACUUUAAGCCAAGUCGAUAAGGGGAAUGCCACCAGCCGACAAACACAACUCCAGUGUCAUCAGGGGACCAGAAUGCCUGUCCUGGUGACACAUAUUCGGGUAUUCCAUCCAGUACAGAAAUGUUGCCACUCUCGAUGUCCAUAACACACAAAACUGGAACACUCUUAUUUACCAGGCCUUCUCCCCAGUCCUCAUGGAACACAAACUGAUCACCCUUGAUAGGUUUUGGGAUAGCAUCUUCCUUCCCAUCAGACACUCCUGAGCCAAGAUUUUUAGAAUCAAUCUGGAAGAAGCUUUCUGUUUUGGGUCUCUUUUUUUCGGCAAUAUACAAUAGAUGAGAUUCGGAAUGGGACCAGGACAGACAUCCAAACUGGUCAUCCUCAUACACCUUCCCAUGCUUAUCGAGAGAGGUCAGGUUGAUGCUCUUUAUUUUGCAAUUCUUGUCCCACACCUCCAAGAACUGCGUGCUUUCCCCUUUGGCAUUGGUGGUGUCUCGUAGGACAGCUUUCAGUGAUCCAGAAAGGGACUCUUUGCUGAGUAGUUCUCCCUUGAUCUCGCAGCUAUUCCCACAGGCACCUGAAUACACAAUGGUGUUAUUAUCAUGGAACACUAUGUACUGUCGGCAG
rnacentral:lncRNA from 1 species